rnacentral:rRNA from 1 species
UACGAAGGGGGCUAGCGUUGUUCGGAAUUACUGGGCGUAAAGCGCGCGCAGGCGGUUCUCCAAGUCAGUGGUGAAAGCCCGGAGCUCAACUCCGGAAUUGCCAUUGAAACUGUUGAACUUGAGGACGAGAGAGGUGAGUGGAAUUCCCAGUGUAGAGGUGAAAUUCGUAGAUAUUGGGAAGAACACCGGUGGCGAAGGCGGCGAUCUGGGUAGAUACUGACGCUGAGGUGCGAAAGCGUGGGGAGCAAACAGG